UACGGAGGAUGCAAGCGUUAUCCGGAUUUAUUGGGUUUAAAGGGUGCGCAGGUUGUUUGAUAAGUCAGUGGUGAAAGUCUGUCGCUUAACGGUAGGAUUGCCAUUGAUACUGUUGGACUUGAAUAUGGAUGAGGUAGGCGGAAUGUGUAGUGUAGCGGUGAAAUGCAUAGAUAUUACACAGAACACCGAUUGCGCAGGCAGCUUACUAAACCAUAACUGACGCUCAGGCACGAAGGCGUGGGGAUCAAACAGGAUUA
rnacentral:rRNA from 1 species